rnacentral:rRNA from 1 species
AUUGAACGCUGGCGGCAUGCCUUACACAUGCAAGUCGAACGGCAGCACGGGUGCUUGCACCUGGUGGCGAGUGGCGAACGGGUGAGUAAUACAUCGGAACGUACCUUAUCGUGGGGGAUAACGCAGCGAAAGCUGUGCUAAUACCGCAUACGCCCUGAAGGGGAAAGCGGGGGAUCGCAAGACCUCGCGCGAUUAGAGCGGCCGAUGCCUGAUUAGCCUGUUGGUGGGGUAAAAGCCCACCAAGGCGACGAGCAGUAGCUGGUCUGAGAGGACGAUCAGCCACACUGGGACUGAGACACGGCCCAGACUCCUACGGGAGGCAGCAGUGGGGAAUUUUGGACAAUGGGGGCAACCCUGAUCCAGCAAUGCCGCGUGAGUGAAGAAGGCCUUCGGGUUGUAAAGCUCUUUUGUCAGGGAAGAAACACCGGCUCUAACACAGUCCGGGAAUGACGGUACCUGAAGAAUAAGCACCGGCUAACUACGUGCCAGCCGCCGCAGUAA